AGGACAAAGUACACAGAGUGGAAGUUGGAGGGAGGUGUCAUCCGACCUGCUACAGCCUGCUAUUAUGUGGUUCCCUGCUGGAGUGAAAACAAGGAGACAGCUAUCUUGGUCAUCUCCCAGCUUCCACACCGCUCUCUAGAGUUCAGUCAAGGGUUCACCCAGUUUCCACACCACUCUCCAGAGCUCCACUAAGGGUUCUCGAGAGCUCUGCCAAGGGUUCCAGCAAUUGCAUCGCCACUCUCCAAGGUUCCUCCGAGGGUUCCAGCUGUUCCACCAUGGUUCUCCAGGGUUCCUGAGUCCAGAUGAGCAGUCACCAGAGUUCAUGCAUGGGUUCCUGCGGUCAGUGGACCAGCUUCCUGAGCUUCUUUGUGAGCACCAGAGCUAUGUGAUGCAGUUUUUAGAGCUCCAUUGUGGCUUCUAAUCUCCAGAGCUCUAUCAUGGCUUCCAGUCUCCACAGCUCUAUUGUGGCUUCCAGUGUCCAGAGCUCCGUUGUGGCUUCCAGUGUCCAGAGCUCCAUUGUGGCUUCCAGUGUCCAGAACUCCAUUGUGGCUUCCAGUGUCCAGAGCUCCAUUGUGGCUUCCAAUCUCCAGAGCUCCAUUGUGGCUUUCAGUGUCCAGAGCGGAAUCAUGGCUUUCAGUCGUAUCUCCAGAGCUCCAUCAUGGCUUCCAGUCUCCAGAGCUCCAUUGUGGUUUCCAGUCUCCAGAGUUCCAUCAUGGCCUCCAGUCUAUGGGGCUCCUCUGUGGUCUUAGAUCUCCAAUUCAACGUCCAGUGACGAUCUCCAUGGGUUCUUCAUGCCACAUGGUCGACAGCCCAACAAGGAUACCCAAGGGUCCUCUACACUUCCUGGUCAAGGGUCUCUGUUGGCCCGUGGUCCAAGCGCCGUGGUUGACCUCCAGACAAGGUUCUCCAUGUGUUUUUCAAGCCCCAUGGUCGACCUCCAGACAAAGUUCUCCGUUGGUUCUCCCUGUUCCCUAGCUGGCCUCAAAGUUUAUGCUUUACCCUGGCCUCCAAGGUCUCUGCCAUUGUUGACCUCCAAGGUUCCUGCACCUAAGAUUUCUACGGCUUGGUCUCUACCACCUCCAAGGUUCCCGCAUCUCAGAUCUCCAGGGCUUUGUCUCUGCCGCCGGCCAUCUGAACUCUGUGCCUCCUGAUGACAUCCCAGUUGCCCGCCCGAACUCUGUUUUUUGCUUCUUGCUUUUCUUCUGAGCCCCACCCUGUCCUACAUUUUAUGGAUGUUGUGAUGCCCUCCUUCCAAGGCCCCUCCACCCACCCUCUUCAGGUUGUUUUGUUUUUUUCUUGGACCGUGGUAUGGCAUCCAGUAUCUGCCUUGGUAAUGUCAUGAUCGACAACUGUUUGUGUUCCUUUUAACUCCACUCACCUGUUUUCCAUUUUGUUCCUUUUAACUCAGUUGUGUUUAUGUCCCUGUUUUCUGUCCCUUCAUUGUCAGGUCUUAUGCUAUAUUCCGUAUUGCCACUGCUGUUGUCAUCCCUGGAUUGUUGCACUUCCUUUGUUGUCCUGUGAGUCAUCCACUAGGAGCCUGCCGAUGUCCUGUUGGCAAUGGCAAAAUAACACUGUUGUGCACAUUGAGCAUAUUAAAUGAAAAAUUCUACAAAA